rnacentral:tRNA from 1 species
GGUGCCAUGUGUAAUGGUUAACACUCUAAACUUUGAAUUCACCAAACUGAGUUCAAAUCUUGGUGGGAUCU